GUACCCCAAACCGACACAGGUGGGUGAGGAGAGUAUCCUAAGGUGCUCGAGUAAUUCAUGGCUAAGGAACUAGGCAAAUUAGAUCCGUAACUUCGGGAGAAGGAUCCCCUGACUUUGUCAGGGCGCAGUGAAAAGGCCCAAGCGACUGUUUACCAAAAACACAUGUCUCUGCUAAGCCGCAAGGCGAUGUAUAGGGACUGACACCUGCCCGGUGCUGGAAGGUUAAGGAAGGGAGUUAGCCUCGGCGAAGCUCUUAACUGAAGCCCCAGUAAACGGCGGCCGUAACUAUAACAGUCCUAAG
rnacentral:rRNA from 1 species